UGGUGAGGGGGCAGCCCCAGCCCGAGCUGCGGGGGCGUGAGGGACAGUCAUGGGAGAGUCCAGCAUGGGACCCUUUGGCCACGAAGGGCUUUAUUUUUAGACCAAACACCACACCUGCAUCCUGCAUUUUCUAUCUUAACCUUUUCACAACAAUGCCUCAAGGCCUGGAACUCUGGGGAGCCCUAAUCCUAUAGCUUCAUGCCUGGGACGCAUCAUCAGAAUGAGACCCCUGGAGGCCACUCCCACCCAGGACCAUGUACUCCCUGGACCCCAGCUCUCCCUCACCCCUGGCUUACCCUGCUUGCCCCAGACCCCAUAACGGCAGGUACCUCUGGGCAUCCCUCCAACGUUCCUCAGAGAUCUCAGCCGAGCUCCCAGGACCUGCACUAGCCCUGGCAAAGGCGUUGUUGCUCACAUGGUCCCUGAGGUUGAAACCACGGUGCCGUGCUGUGGCCUUGACUCACCCAGCUCCCACCACCAUACCAUCCUCCCUCCACCACCGGGCAGCUGUCCUAGAAGCCUCUGGGGACUGUCACACCACAGCAGAAGCCAGGUGGGGACAGGACAGGAGGCCCCGUCAGCCUCAGGGUUUCCUCUGCUGCUCUGAGUGGUAGUGGGCUCUGCUCUGCUCGCUCCUGGUGGGCUGCUGGGCUGCAGGACUAGAAACAAAAGAAGCUCUUGGCCUUCAGCAUCAAAGUCGUGCCCUCCUGCCUCUGCCCUCAGUACUGAGCACCCAGGGACCAGCAGGAAGGUGGAUGCUAUUCAGGAGGCCUGGCCUCCUUUCCUUUAUGGAAAAGACUCAGCCUCUGAUCCAGGCCAUUCUCUUGUGAAAGGGAACCAUAAAAAUGAGUCAAUAUAGGUAAAGUGCUUAGAACAAGGCCUGACCUAUAGUGGGGGCUCUAUACAUUUUCAUCAUCAUCAUCUAACUAAAUGCUUACAACUCUGUGAGGUCAGUAAAAUGACUCCAUUUUACAGGUGAGAAAACUGAGGCGGAAAGAGGUGAAGCCACAUGCCUUCCUUUAUACAAAAUUAGUGGCUGAACAGGGAUUUGAACCUAUCAGUUGGAAGCUUAUGGUGUCUGCCACGGGGCAUGAUUUCCUCUGGUUUUGGGGCCAGCUUUGGAUGUGUGUGUACACACACACACACACACACACACACACACAC